rnacentral:rRNA from 1 species
CCUUACGGGUGGCUGCAGUGGGGAAUAUUGGACAAUGGGGGGAACCCUGAUCCAGCCAUGCCGCGUGUGUGAAGAAGGCCCUCGGGUUGUAAAGCACUUUCAGUGAGGAAGAACGCCUGGUGGUUAAUACCCAUCAGGAAAGACAUCACUCACAGAAGAAGCACCGGCUAACUCCGUGCCAGCAGCCGCGGUAAUACGGAGGGUGCGAGCGUUAAUCGGAAUUACUGGGCGUAAAGCGCGCGUAGGUGGCUUGAUAAGCCGGUUGUGAAAGCCCCGGGCUCAACCUGGGAACGGCAUCCGGAACUGUCAAGCUAGAGUGCAGGAGAGGAAGGUAGAAUUCCCGGUGUAGCGGUGAAAUGCGUAGAGAUCGGGAGGAAUACCAGUGGCGAAGGCGGCCUUCUGGACUGACACUGACACUGAGGUGCGAAAGCGUGGGUAGCAAACAGGAUUAGAUACCCGUGUAGUC